rnacentral:rRNA from 1 species
UACGGAGGGUGCAAGCGUUAAUCGGAAUUACUGGGCGUAAAGCGUGCGUAGGUGGUUCGUUAAGUCCGUUGUGAAAGCCCCGAGCUCAACUUGGGAAUUGCAGUGGAUACUGGCGAGCUGGAGUGCGGUAGAGGAAGGUGGAAUUCCCGGUGUAGCGGUGAAAUGCGUAGAGAUCGGGAGGAACACCAGUGGCGAAGGCGGCCUUCUGGACCAGCACUGACACUCAGGCACGAAAGCGUGGGGAGCAAACAGG